AUCCUUGCCCGCAUAAUGAUUUGUUCUUUCUUCAUUUCAUGAUUGCUUUUUGCGUCUACAUGCGCACGCAUGCUCGAGUACCAUGAUGCCAACGAUACGCACACACAAAUACACACAAAGAUGGCGUGUGCGUGUACAACGUACGAUGUUUCACUAACACAAAGAUACACUCAAUGGAUUUACAUUGUUCCAGUCAUAGCCACGGAAAACGUGCGACAAUGGCAACAAAUAUUAAUUAGAAACCUGUCGAAAAUAAUAGAAAUCAAAUUCGAGUGACAGGAAAUGCAAUGAAGUUAGAUGUGUUGUAGUGUGUGUAAGAGAGAAGAUUUGUGAGUCUGUAGUAGUGAAAUAAAUAAAUAGCACACACAGAAGCAAAGUGGGAGAUGCGAACCAAGAAAGCUCGAGAACCGAAAGUCUAAGUUAGUACUGUUUGUUCCAAACCACGAUUGGAUGCAUCUCGCAGCUCCCGUGGUAAAAUUUAUUUUUUAUUUUGCUCAAACAUACAGAAAAUUAUACAGUGCAUAGAGCUAGCUCCAGAAGCAAGUAAAUCUUUGCGAACUUUUACCAACAGUUCGUAAAGACCAUACACAUUGCCGUUCGCUUCGCUUGCAGGCAUAGUGUUUUCCAGCUUAUGGUAAAAGCAUUCUCGGUGUAACGCGUGUGCUUGGAAAGCUAAGCCCCGGUCGAGGUUGUGUGAUCUUGCGAUCGAGCACGAAUUGGCUGGUGGAAAAGAAUAGAAAUUAAGAGAGAAAAGGAACGUGCAGGCUACGUGGCGUAGUGGUGUGUUCAUUUCUAAGGUUACGUGUGUUAGUACAUUUCUUUCUUGUAUAUCAGCAUCAUCCAACGUUAGUGUGUAUCUCACAUA